CUGUGUUGCUCAACCAAGUUUUGCUGUAAUGGUAUUCUAUAAGAUAUGUACUUCCUUUCCCCCUAGCGCCUCGGGAGGGUCCUUGACAUACGCUGGGUUGGGUACGUACCAGAAUCUCCUUAACUAGCAUUGUUUGCAUUGACAUUGCAUGUACCUGUAUUUUCAUUCACAGGGUCAAAAUCAUUUUUCUGAUACAUUGGGUCAUGCCCACUUUUCCCUCCAUGACCACCUAGGCCCUACUAGCCCAAUCACCUCUUCCACAAGUAGUGCUACCAC
rnacentral:lncRNA from 1 species